rnacentral:rRNA from 1 species
GACAGAGGGUGCAAACGUUGUUCGGAAUUACUGGGCGUAAAGCGCGUGUAGGCGGCUAAGUAAGUCGGGCGUGAAAGCCCCGGGCUCAACCUGGGAAUUGCAUUCGAGACUGAAUAGCUAGGGUACGGUAGAGGGAAGUGGAAUUUCCGGUGUAGCGGUGAAAUGCGUAGAUAUCGGAAGGAACAUCAGUGGCGAAAGCGACUUCCUGGACCAGUACCGACGUUCAGGCACGAAAGCGUGGGGAGCAAACAGG